rnacentral:SRP_RNA from 1 species
GCUUAUCUUGUAAUCUUUGAUACUGGGGAGGCUGAGGCUGAUGAAUUUUGUGAGCUUGGUAGCUUUGAGCUGCUGUGUGCUAAUAUGUCCAAACUAAGUUAGACACCAGUAUGUUGAAUCUCCCAGGACUGGACCCAUCUAUCUGCCUGAGGAGGGGUGAACUGGCCCAGGUUGGAAAUGGAGCAGGUCAAAGCUCCCAUGCUGAUCAGGAGUAGGAUUGGGCCUUUAAGUGGCUGCUACACUUCUAUCCUGAGCAAAAUAGGGAGACUCAA